rnacentral:rRNA from 1 species
GGUUUAAUUCGAUGAUACGCGAGGAACCUUACCCGGGCUUGAACUGCCAGUGACUCAUGCAGAGACGCAUGUUCUUCGGACACUGGCGGAGGUGCUGCAUGGUUGUCGUCAGCUCGUGCCGUGAGGUGUCGGCUUAAGUGCCAUAACGAGCGCAACCCUUCUCCCUGUUUGCCAUCGGGUCAUGCCGGGCACUCCAGGGACACUGCCAUCGUAAGAUGUGA